rnacentral:lncRNA from 1 species
GUUCUAAUCUGAACCACGCAAAAAUAAACGGAACUUGAAAAGCAGAGAGGAAGAGAAGAUAAGCCGAAGGGUGAAGAAAAUAGUGGUGGGUUUCAACCAUAAUCAUGGUAAUGGCUACUUCAUCAACCAUAUUGCCAUCAACACUCAUCGCGGGAACAACGGUUUCAGUUAACUCAAAAAAGCAACUGUUGUUCCUUCCAAAUGGUUAUAAUAACAGGUUACAAAAGAGAGUUUCCUUCACUAUCACAGCAACCAAGCCCCCUGCUGGUGUAAGCACUUCUCUUUUAAUUAGGUGAUAAGAAUACUCAUUUUAAAAAUUAAAUAAAAGUUGUUUAUAUUCAAUGAAGCAGCGCAGUUGUGUGCGCUUAUUAUUUUUUAUGUGUGAGAGAGAGAAGUGUAUAACAAGAAGCUGUGAGUAGAGGUGUGUUUUACAUUGGUAUGAGAUGUAUAAAUCGGAGGC